CACCUGUGCCAGUGGAAGUGGCAACGUUUUGUGCUGUAUAAAAAGCAAAAGCUAUACAGCUAUUAAAUUCGAUAUUUAAUUCUAGAUAGAUCUAGAACAAUUCCCUUAAGUAAACAUAAAGUGCCCAUCCCAUGAUUGGUUUUUUUUCGCUAUGACAAAUGUGUUUUUUUGAGGCGUAUCAGCGUCAGUCGGCAGAAAAUCCCGCAUAUAUACUUGUUUCUUAUGUUUUCAAUCUACAAAACCAGAUCCGAUGCUAUAAGAUAGAUCCAAGGAAAAAGCCUGUUGUUAUGGUUUUUUAUUUCUUGUUUUACAAAAAGAGGUAAAGCGCAAAAUGAACAUUCGGAUAAGCGAUACUUUAUUUAAUUUUUUAGCUUUGGUGAUCAAAUGUAAUCCAAUCUAUCAUUACUCUUCGUAUUGAGCGAAAUCUCUUUAGGUGACACACUUGUGAGCGUAGAAGUGGCAGCGCCGAGAGCAGCACGCCUCGCCGACAUAGCACUGGAGAUAAAAUGUGUAAAGAGAGAAGGUUACCUAUGGGCUCAAGGUGAGAUCCGCACUGACUCUUACCCUUCCACCAAUGGGCAUGCACGCCCGCACCAAGCCCAAGAUACACAAAAAAAGUCCCAAACGGGCGAUCGACAGAGGAUUCGACAUUAACAUGCUGUUGCUUAGGCUGUAAAGCGUUGACUGCAGGACUAUGCGCUACGAUUUUCUACGAUUUUCAACGGAUAAGCAUUACUAUUUUUCUAUUUAAUUAGCUUUGGUGAUAAGCAUUUACAUGGGCUCAAGGUGAGAUCCACACUGACUCUUACCAGUCCACCGUCGGGGCUGCACUGUCUGCCCUACUCCUCCUGUAGUGUCCGGACUGACUUCUUGUCAGGAAAUUGAUGAGCAGACUGCUUGGCAUCGUUUUUCUGGGUACUGUUGGACUGGGGCAGCACCGCCCGGGAAAAUGCACGGGCUAUCUUCUUGGCGCAGACACUCAGGUAUGUCAUGCAUUUCCUCGAGCAGCAGUCCCAAUGCACCUGGCACUGAAACUCGGGGGUGGAGAGAUGAUCUUAGCUGGAGUAGGAUGCUACUCACAUUUUGUCCAUUCGCUCGGCAACUCGUGGCAGCCGCCACCAAGCCCAAGAUACACAAAUAAAAUCCCAAACGGCUGAUCGACAUGCUGACCCCUUCAAUGUUAAGCGCGGAGCUAGGCGUAGUGGAGAUAAACAUUGAAAUUCUGCCUUCCAGAGCCGAAAAGCAGACAUAUUACUGAACUUUGCUACGGAUAAGCGAUACUUUAUUUAAUUUAAUUAGCUUUGGUGAUAAGCAAUUACAUAUUGUACAUGUAUGUAUCGAAUGAGUAAUAAUCCGAGCUAUUAUUAUUA